rnacentral:rRNA from 1 species
AUUGAACGCUGGCGGCAUGCCUUACACAUGCAAGUCGAACGGCAGCACGGGAGCAAUCCUGGUGGCGAGUGGCGAACGGGUGAGUAAUAUAUCGGAACGUGCCCAGUCGUGGGGGAUAACGCAGCGAAAGCUGUGCUAAUACCGCAUACGAUCUACGGAUGAAAGCGGGGGAUCGCAAGACCUCGCGCGAUUGGAGCGGCCGAUAUCAGAUUAGCUAGUUGGUGGGGUAAAGGCCUACCAAGGCGACGAUCUGUAGCUGGUCUGAGAGGACGACCAGCCACACUGGAACUGAGACACGGUCCAGACUCCUACGGGAGGCAGCAGUGGGGAAUUUUGGACAAUGGGCGCAAGCCUGAUCCAGCAAUGCCGCGUGCAGGAUGAAGGCCUUCGGGUUGUAAACUGCUUUUGUACGGAACGAAACGGUGAGCUCUAAUACAGUUUGCUAAUGACGGUACCGUAAGAAUAGGCACCGGCUAACUACGUGCCAGCAGCCGCAGUAA